rnacentral:rRNA from 1 species
GCAUAUCAUAAGCGGAGGAAAAGRAACUAACAAGGAUUCCCCUAGUAACGGSGAGUGAAGUGGGAAAAUAUUGGCGAGAGACCGAUAGCAAACAAGUACCGUGAGGGAAAGAUGAAAAGCACUUUGGAAAGAGAGUUAACAGUACGUGAAAUUGUUGAAAGGGAAACGAUUGAAGUCAGACGUGCGUGAUGCGGUUCAGCUCUGGUUCGCCAGAGUGUACUCCGUAUCUUUGCAGGCCAACAUCGGUUUUGUUAGUCGGAUAAAGGUUUGAGAAAUGUGGCACCUUCGGGUGUGUUAUAGUCUCAGACUGAAUACGAUUGAUGGGACCGAGGAACGCAGCGCGCCGCAAGGCAAAGGUUCCGACCUUUUCGCGCUUAGGAUGUUGGUGAAAUGGCUUUAAACGACCCGUCUUGAAACACGGACCAAGGAGUCUAACAUGCUUGCGAGUGUUUGGGUGGCAAACCCAUACGCGUAAUGAAAGUGAAUGGAGGUGGGAUCCUUUACCGGAGCACCAUCGACCGAUCCGGAUUUUUAAUGAAGGGUUUGAGUAAGAGCACGUAUGUUGGGACCCGAAAGAUGGUGAACUAUGCCUGAAUAGGGUGAAGCCAGAGGAAACUCUGGUGGAGGCUCGUAGCGGUUCUGACGUGCAAAUCGAUCGUCAAAUUUGGGUAGA